AGGAUUGACAGAUUGAGAGCUCUUUCUUGAUUCUAUGGGCGGUGGUGCAUGGCCGUUCUUAGUUGGUGGAGUGAUUUGUCUGGUUAAUUCCGAUAACGAACGAGACCUUAACCUGCUAAAUAGCCAGGCCGGCUUUUGCUGGUCGCCGGCUUCUUAGAGGGACUAUCAGCAUCUAGCUGAUGGAAGUUUGAGGCAAUAACAGGUCUGUGAUGCCCUUACAUGUUCUGGGCCGCACGCG
rnacentral:rRNA from 1 species